UGCAGUCGAACGGUUCCUUACUGGUCUUCGGACUGGUUCUGGGAUAGUGUCGGACGGGUGAGUAACACGUGGGCAACCUGCCCCGGAGACCGGGAUAACAGUUCGAAAGGGCUGCUAAUACCGGAUGUUCUGGCAGGGGGUUAACCUCCUGCCGGGAAAGGGUUUUUAAACUGCUCCGGGAUGGGCCCGCGUCCCAUUAGCCGGCUGGUAGGGUAACGGCCUACCAGGGCGACGAUGGGUAGCCGGCCUGAGAGGGUGACCGGCCACACUGGGACUGAUAACGGCCCAGACUCCUACGGGAGGCAGCAGUGGGGAAUAUUGCGCAAUGGGGGAAACCCUGACGCAGCGACGCCGCGUGGGUGAUGAAGGCCUUCGGGUCGUAAAGCCUUGUCAAGGGGGAAGAAGAUAUGACGGUACCCCUGGAGGAAGCCCCGGCUAACUACGUGCCAGCAGCCGCGGUAAGACGUAGGGGGCGAGCGUUGUCCGGAAUUACUGGGCGUAAAGGGCGUGUAGGCGGUCUGGCAAGUCAGCUGUGCAAGCCCCGGGCUCAACCUGGGGAUUGCAGUUGAAACUGCUGGACUUGAGUUCAGGAGAGGGAAGUGGAAUUCCCGGUGUAGCGGUGAAAUGCGUAGAUAUCGGGGGGAACACCAGUGGCGAAGGCGACUUCCUGGCCUGCAACUGACGCUGA
rnacentral:rRNA from 1 species